ACGGACACAUCGGGAGCACGGGCGACUGGGCUCCCCGGGCCACCCCUAGACGUCGCGCGCCCCGAUCCCCACCCCCAACAGUUUACCUGUUGGUCCCUAGCUAGCGGCUAGGCUGGGGCGGGCAGCCGGGACGCCCUGGCGGCCGCAGCCUCCAUCGCUCCGUUAGGGUUGGGGAAUUGGAUUUGACGUUGCGAGGUGUCUGGCUCGCCAGACUGCGGACGCCGCGAAGUUUGCGGCUGCCUGGGGGCGUCGCUCGCUGUCGCCAGCGUUCUCGCCCCCACGGCCCGGGAGCGCGAGCUCCCGAGUUGGCGGACGGCGGCGCGGCGGCCGCACUGAGCAUGCCCAGCUUGGCGGCCGGACCGCGGAGGAGUUGGCUGCGAGCGCCUCGAGCGCUCCCAUCUGCCUCUCCGGGUUUUCGCAGCCGCAGAGCGCGCAUUCCACGGGCCCUGCGCCCCAGCUGGCUGCAGGGUUAACCCGGCUAUGGAACCAGCCCCAGGAGGGACCCCGGGCCUCGAGCUGCGCCCUCCGCCUCGACCCCUCCUGCGGUCGCCAUCCCGGCAGCCUAGGCGAAACCUCACCUGCUCGCAUCACAGGGAUGGGAACCGCGGGGAGGGGGCGAUCCUUUCGGGGGAUCUGGUCAAUCCACCUGCCGGCGCCCCUCGCUUGCUCCAGGUAGACACACAGAUGCGGGGCCAAGAGCCGUGAGCAUUGAGACCUAGCCUCGGAGGCGGGCCCAGCGUGUCCUAAGGGACCCUGCAGGAGGCGCGCCCAGGAGAACGCGCCAGCACUUGGCCAAGAAUGAUGGCUGCCAUUUAUCGAGUCCUCCUUUGGUUGUAUGAUCUUGAUGGUCUGAAUUUGCUUCUAACAACAAACCCUUCCACGGUUUUACUUCGCCUUCUUUAUAAAUGAGGAAAUUGUGUCAGCUCGGAGAGGUUAGAUGACUUGUUCAAAGCUGCAAAAGCUAAUGGGAAUUUGAACCUACCACUGCUGGAGCUCAGGUUUCUGACCUCACCCCUCUGCUUUGAUUGGGAAGGGCUGUGUGCUUGAUCUGCCCUUGGCCUGAUUGUAUCACAUUCUCCAUAACUUGAGGAAUUUCUUGGACGCUUAGUUCCCAGCUCUGGAGAGCAUGUACACAGAAUAACCUGCAGCCUUUCUAUAGUACCUGGUACAUGGUGAUGAUAUGUGAAUGUCUACUUGCUUUGCUGCCUUUAAAGCACCCGAGGGAAGGAAGAAGGAAGUGGAUAAGGCGAUGGCAUUGUAAAAGACUAGUUCUUCAUUGUUCACCCUCUGAACAAAAGUACCUCCAACCUAGCCUAACACUUAAAUGGAGCUGCUGUAUGGGGCUAAAUCCAUUACUCAGUCUGAGCUAGGCCUCCUACAGUAUACUUGCCUUUACCAAGAGGUGCUUCCUUCCACUGCCCACCUUGCCAUGAGCAUUUCUCUUCUAAUACCCUAUAUAUAGUAACUUCAUGGUGCAGUUUGCCUUGUGUUAUAGCAGCUAUCAAAUCCAGUUCCUUUGCUUGAAAGAAAAUACAGUUUUUAUUCAUAUCUAACUUUAUUAGGAGAUUUGUCAAGCAUACCAAAAAGUGAAGAAAGAAUAUAAUAAAUCCCCAAGUAUUUAUCAUCUGUAAUACUGUUUAACCAUUUUUAUUCCAGGUAUUUUCCCCAUUCUCAAUCACUAAUGUACCCACUGAUUCAGUAAGGACAGUUUUCAUUAUUGAACACAGCAUGGCACUUGGCACAUCUCAAAAAAGUUUUGAAUUGUGGGAUGGAUAGUAGGUGGUUGGCUGGGUAAAUGGACUUAGGCGGUCAUCACAAGUAAUUCUUUACAGGUACUAUAUUAUGCCGCUCAAUCUGAUGUCCAUAGUUUGAUGAGAGACAUGUCCAAACUUUUCUCAGAGAUAACUGUCUUACUCUGUUCGAUUUUUGACCACGGCCACUUUUAUAAAAGAAAACAUUUAUUUGGCCUACCUUACAUUCAGAGAUUUAACCCAUUAGUGUCAUGGCAGGAAACAUGGCAGCAAACAGCAGACAUGGGGCUGGAGAUGUAGCUUAGACUUCUACAUCCCAGCUGGGAGGCAGCAGGAAAAGACGGACACUGGGUCUGGCUUGAGAAGUUGAAAUCCCAAAACCUACCCUCAGGAACACACUUCCUCCAAGAAAGCCACAUCUGCUCCAGUGAGGCCACGCCUACUCUAACAAGGCCACGCCCACUCCAACCAGCCCUCGCUUCCUUAUCUCUCUCCAGUAGGGUCAUUCCCUAAUGACUAAGAGUUCAAAUAUUUGAGCCCAGGGGGCAGGGGAGGGGGAGGGCAUUCCUAUUCAAACCACCAGAAAAAACAAGGCGAAAUAACCCAGCGAAACAUUUUUGCACAGGUCUCCUUUGCCUGUGUAACCUCUAUGCAGACAUUUCGCAGCCAAUCUUCUCUCAUUGCCAAUCGUGGAUAUGCUGUGCAAAUCACAGGCCACCUUAAAAAGUUCUCCAAGUUCUUCCAAGUUACAAAGAAUGAAUAGAAAAGGUGUUCAAUGGGUUCCUCUCCAAGUUCUUUGUGUGAAGAUGAAGAUGAAGAAUAACAUUUUUCAGACCAGUUCUCACCAGUGCGGCGGGGGGGGGAGGGGGGGCGGGGGGGGGAAUUACAGAGCAGAUCCAUUGUGAGUUCUUCCUACCAUUCCUGCUCUCCGACUGCUGGUUCAGGGCCAUUGAAGGAACAAGCAGUAAAGCCAGAGUCGGGCCUAAUCCCUCCCAAACCUGUGCCUAUUAUCAUCAUCAAUGCUCUGCGUGCAUUGAUUAUCAUUAUUGUAGUACAUGUGAAAGAGCAUCAGAAGAAAANAAAAAAAAAAAAAAAAGAAAUUAUAUAUUGGCUUUGGAAACAUACACUAAAAUCAGAAUACCAUAGAGAAGGUGGUUAAAUUUUAACAAAGGUUAUUAAUUUUGAAAUGUUUCAUUCAGAUUAAGUUUUAAUAAUUUUUGUGCUUACAGAAAUGAAAGGAUACCAUCAUUAUGACUCAAGCAACAAUGACGAGUAGAAUUCUAUUGCUAGCUCAGUACAUGGUUUCGAUUUUCCUAGUAGCCGUAUUUUUAAAAGAUGAAAUUAAUUUUGUCAGUAUAGUAAUUUGGCCCAGUAUAGCUAAAAUAUU
ensembl:antisense